AAAAUAUAGAAUUAAUUUUUCUUCUUUAAAAUAAAGUAAAACCAUUCGAUAUCAUUCGAAACCAAUAAUAUUCAAAACAUGAGUAAUAAGUUCCAAUAAAUUAUUAGAGUGAAAUCAUAAAACUGAUAAUGCAGAAUCUCUGGUAUGUGAUGCAAUCUGGCCGAGGUUUUCCCUUUACUACUAGAAGUACCUGAAACAUUUCAAACUUAACUCGUAAACACAAAGCUUAAUGAAUUCUCCAAAAUACCACAUACAACACAGUUAAUGGCCCCCGCCUUGAAUAAUGGAUCUCGUCCUGAAGAAUGGGCACCACCCAACAUAACAUAACAAUGGGUCUGACUCGAAAAUCAUAUAAACAUACUAGCAAGAGUCACAAGGAAAACAAGCAUACAAUGACACCUCAUGUCAAGGCUUACCUCAUAGUCAAGCAGACAAACACCACAUCUCACAGGAAGUGGAAAGGCUGGUACUACGAACCAGCAAAACAUUAAUAAAUAGUCAACUCUCAGUCUAUGACCUAAACCCUAAAGUUUGACCAAAAAUCAACUUGGUCAAGAUUCAAUGGUCAACGAUUGACGGACCACGCCAUGGCCAAUCAUAAUUGUGCCAUGAAACUAGAUGACAAAACAGACGCAACCAGACACCAUCGUCGCCCAGCGAAAAGACAUUUUCUUUAUGCUUAUAUAAAACAUGAUAUUCUUUGUAAAUGCAAAAUUUAUCCCAUAAAAGUAUUUCUGAAGAAAUGUUUUUCAUUGAUUAUUAAAAAUUUGGGAUGUCAUAACUGAUAUAAGAAAUAUAAGCAUAAAUGUAGUCAUUACAGGCCUUACAACAUAUUAUUAUACUAUGACCUACACCUCCUCAAAUCUCUCAUCAGAUCCAAACAUUAUUAUCCAUGUACCUUUGUACCGCUACCUGUGAGACAAAGAGUGGGUCGGGUUUGGGAGUCUAGUGAACACAUAGGGUUUUCAACCCACAAUAAUAUAAUUGAUUUGUUUUAAUUAUAUAUUUCGCAUCGAACAAUUAAAUCGAUUACUCAUUCCGGUUAUUCUCACUCCCUAAUCCUAAAUUGGUGAUCUCAAGGGAUCUAUCCUAAAGGAUCUACGAGUAAAUAAUGUUGCCCCACGGAUUCCUUAGCAAUAUGUCCUAAUAAGACAACCAUGGGGUGAACAGAGUACCCACAUGAAUAGUUAUUCAUACCUACAGGUUGUAGUCCCGUUUGCAUGUAAUUCCCCAAAAGCUACAAGUUGGAGACCUGCCCAUAUAUAGUUCAGUAACACCUACAAGUCAUAGACCUGUCCGUGUAUGAUUCAUUAAUGCCUAUAGUCAUGGACCUGUCUGUAUACAAUAUAUUAACAUAUAUAGGUUGUAAACAUACCCAUGUAUGAUUGAGUAACACCUACAAGUUAUAAACCUGCUUGUGUGUGGCUUAUAAACAUCUACAACUUACAAGCUUGUCCAUGUUUCAUCAGACUUGUAUAGAAUAGUAUGUGGUCAUCAUCAAUACCCUACUAGGUGAUUACAUUGCUAGUACAGUAGUACUAUAAAAUUCAUGGCAUCUUAUCAUCAUUUUCAUCUCCCAUCAUCCUUCACUACCCAAUGUAUUAUAUGCAUGAAAAUACAUAUAUGGUUAAACCAUAUAAAACUCGUCUUAUAUUAUUUCAUCUAACACAUAACAUCUUGAGCAUAGAACAUAAGAGCAUACAACAUUUAAUUAUCUAAAUACUUCAUAUAUAUGUGUAAGAAUGAAGUAAAUAUGCACUCACUUGUUAAAAGUGGAUGACUUGAUAUUUAGGCAGAGCUACGCCUAACACUUUUAGUUUUUCCUUCGAUAUGACCUAGGUAUGAAUUCACUAAGUCUUAGUCUUAUAUUCUUGUGACUAAUGAUAAUCUAGAUUCCUCAACAAUCCCAAUGUCUACUAAUGUAUAGCUGAUAAUGAGCGACCAUGUAAGAUUAUAUCGAAGUUAGGGUCCAUUUGGUAUACAUAGUAUACUGUUUGGAAAUAUUACUUUAAACACCUCACUAAAUCUAGCCUAGACAUCACCCCUAUAAGUAGAUUAAUCAGUAUUAUGGCAUGAAAUCACUUAUAAAUAUUAUUUAUAGAUUCAUAAUAACAACUAUGAACAUAAAUAUAAGUUACACUUGAAUUAAGAUAAGUGCAACUUAACUUACAAAGGUUUUACAGCGAAAAGUCGGAAAUUGAACUGGCAGAACUCCGAAUCGAACACUUCAUUUCAUCGGGAUCCUAGAUACUCAAUAGGCCCGCUAAAAUGCUUAGAAGUCUGAAAAGGUCGGAGCCCAAAGAUUUGAGAGAUUCCAGAGAGAAUAUAAGAAAGGUGUAAGGAAAGAAUAGAUGGAAACGCUUCUAUUUAUAGGGUUUUACGGUGCAUGUUGGGCGCUUAUCUUGAGAUGAUGCGCGCUAUUCGGCUAUGCAGAUCCUAACAAAUCCUACCAUGUGUUAAAAAUUAUGUGGGCCAUGUUUGCGCCUUCUAGAAGCAUGUCCCGCACCUACCUGCGCGUGACAUUUUUCAAAAAACUUCAAAAAAUCGUAUCUUUCUCAUACGAGUUCCAUUUUCGAUGUUCUUUAUAUCCAUGUGUAGUUAUCGACAGAUACAGCUUUCAUUUAGACUCUAUCGGCUAAUUCGUACUUUAUUUUUAGAGUUAUAUUUUAACAGGCUUAGACUCUUAAAGUCUAUAUAAAAUCAUAACUCUUUCAUACAAAUUCCAUUCUCGACUGUCUUUAUAUCGACGGAAUCCUAUUUGCGAGAUCUUCAACUUUUGUUAAGAUUGUUUCGGCUAAAAAUCAACCGAUUUGAAUUUUGAAUUUUGUCUUUUGCACUGCUGCGCUAAAACUUUGAAAAAUCAUAACUUCCUCAUAUGAAUUCAUAUUUGGACUUUCUCUACAUACACGUUCUCACUUUUCUGAUUACUACAACUUUUGUUAGAUUACUAAGGCUAAUAAGCAACCUAUAUCUGAUUCACUUUUUAUGUCGUACAUAGUUGUGUUAGUUUAAUCGUGAAACUUCGAAGAGGCAUACCUUCUCCAUACGAAGUCGGAUUUAAGCGUUCCUUAUAUCCACGAGACCAUCAUUACGACUACAUCAUCUUUAGCUAAUAUUAUUUAUUAUAUCUUAAAUAUCUAAACCGAAUCUGAAGGCGUUACAGUACAAUAUGAAAAAACAAAAUGAAAGUACAUUGCUAUUACCUCAUUCACUUGAAAGUAUGUGCCACUGAGUGGGAAUCUACCUCUUAUUUCCGUUCGCUGUGGAAUCUAUUUGUGUGCAUAUAAGAUCCAAUCAUAUAUAAAUUACAUUUUUGGUCCCUGAGCUAUAUCAAAUAAUUUUUUCCUUUUGCUUUUGUUUUCAAUUUGCAUCCCUAUUUCAUUAUUUCAUCACAUUUUUAAUCCUUGAUCCGUUACUUUUAGGAAGCAUGACAAUUAUAGUGUAGGGGGAAAAGUGUAUUUUAAUCAAGUUUUUGUAGUAUUUGUGUACUNNNNNNNNNNNNNNNNNNNNNNNNNGGGGGGAUUUGGGUCUUUUUUCUUCUUUGAUCCAUCAUCUUCAUUGGAUGUGGGUCUCUUCUUACUUGAAGAAGGUUUAGAGGUAGUAGUAAUAGUAUGCGUAGGUUCUUUUUUUUUUGUUUCCUUCUCUAUGGGUUUUUGAAAAUAAAACCAAAACUCAAUUAUGUUCAAAGUACAUUGAUUGUUGUAAUAGGAGGGAAGAAAUAUAAUAAGAAAGCCACUAUGUGUUGUUAACAAUUCUUUAUUACCUUCUUCAAUUAAUGACUCAUAUACUGCCUUCACUCCUUGUUUAAUAAAAAUUUGAAAAAAUUCAAUGUUUUUGGAAAACAAGACCAAUGGGUUGUUUCUUUUUUACACACUAAGCUCAUUAAGUGAAAAAAAACAACCCUUCAAUAUUUAAGAAAGUUCAUGGAGUAAACCUGAGUUGAGAAUAUGUUCCCAUUAUGCAUUCCACAAUACUUUUGUAAGCCAAAUCUUCACUCAUACCAUCUUGUGGAUACCUUCUAAACAAACCCUCCACAAUGCCAUGCACAACGCCAAGCAAAAAAGAUUAUUGAUGUUAUAUGUAGGUCAGACCGACCGGUUCGGGUUUAGCCUUGAUUUUGGAGUUACUGUCAGGCUUGUUUGAUGAACUGGUUAGAAUAAACCCAGAUAAAUUUCUCCAAAUCAUUAUAUAAGCAACAAAAGAAGAAGUACCACGUGAAGAAAUUAUGAACUCACCGGAUUUUUGCUUUUGAACCUUUGUUCAAGCUUGUUGAACAUCUGAAAGUGGUUAGAAUGAUUGAAAUCUGGUGUUCAAAUAAAACAGAGUUCUUAUUGUAGUUGUAGUACACCCCCGAUUUCUUUAGACUUGAUCACUUAGCGUUAGAAACGUUAAAUUAAAAAAUAAAACUAAAGAAUGUUGUGUACAUGAAUCACUAAUAAGCAACAAGCUAUAAUCAACAAUUGAAAAAGAGAAUUUUUGAGGAAGGAUACAUCAUAAAAAAUGAUUUCCUCCAAACAAUCCCCACAAGGCAUCUUUUUUUUUGGUAUUGUGUUAUAACAGAUUUCAUAAAAGUUAUUAGAAAAAAGUCACCAAGUACAAUAGUGUAACAAGAAAACAUAAAACUAUAAUGCUUUAAUAGAAAACCAAAUAAAAGUAAGUUGCUAUUAAACUUAACUACAUAAUACAUAAAAAGGAGAACCUUGGAUUUUGGAAUGGAUGCAUAAUAUACAUCAAGCAAAGGCUGAUUUAUUACAUUUUUUUUACAAAUUAAGAUAUUCUUCUUAUGUUCCUAUUGUAAACCCUACUUCCUAAAGGAUUUCAUGAACUGUCUCAUUAAUCUUGAUUCCAGGAUACAUUUGUGAAAAAUUAAACUCUUAUAGUUUCAUAUAUGUGGUACCUUUAAUUCUCUGCAUCCAAAAGUGUACAAUGUUUGCUUCGAAUCACACUUGUUAAUGAACAAAUCAUUCUUCUUAAUUUGAUUCUCAACAACCCGUCUGCAUAUCAUGAAAAAGGGCAUACACUACUAUUAACAACAUGAUAUCUAUUUCAUGUGUGUGAUUAUAAAACAUACGACAACCAAUAUGUAACACCCAGAAUCAGAAAGACCAAGAAAGGAAAGGAAAACCCUAAGUCAAGGGGUCAACUCGUCGAGUCCAAAGGUGAACUCGACGAGUCAGAGUGGGAUCCGGGUUAUAGAAUAAGUGACCGACUCGACGAGUCAGAAAGUGGACUCGGCGAGUCUGGUUUGAUCAAGGAAAGCCCUAAUCCGAGGGUUUGCACCCUAGUUAAAGGACCUUAAGUCCUUUCCUUAGUCCCCCCUUGUCGGCCAGAAGCUGCUAUACACGAUACCAAACCCUAGUUGAGUGAGAGAAGGAAGAAAGUGAGUUUAGGGCUUUUGCAAGAGGAAGGUUUGGAGGAUUUGACCACUAAGGAGCUGGAGGAUCCAACCCUUUUGUUGUGAGCAUCAGUUUGAAGGUAACAAUUUGUCACCUUGCCUUUGUUGCUUCUAGAUCUUCUCAUGGAUGAGCUUUUAGGGCCAUUUUGGUAUGAUAAGGAGCCUUUUUGAGUUAGAAGUCUAGAUCUAAGGUUUCUACUUCAGAUCUAGGUGUGUCUUGGUUUAGAGAUCCAUAAAGUAUCAGUUUUUGGUGUGUUGGUUAAGUAUGUUUGCCCCAAACCCUAGCCCUAGAGUAUUUUAAGCCUAUAUCUCCUUGGUUUCACGUAAAGUUUGCAACUUUACGUGAGGAAUAGACUUUGGAAGAGUGGAUCUACAAGAUGAAGCCCCUGCAUGGCUCGAAAAGCCACUGUAUGGAUUAAGAACUGAAGCUACUCGGAGAGUCACAUGGGUGGACUCGGCGAGUUGGAUGAAGAUAGGCAGGAACUCGACGAGUUGGAAGAACAACUUGGCGAGUCUGUUGAAUAUUGCCAUGGACUCAGCGAGUCUGUUCUUGGACUCGACGAGUUGGAUCGCAAAACCUCAACCUUUUCUGGUUAAGACUUAGAUCGAUGAAUUAAGUGAUGACUCAGUGAGUUGGGCAGGAUGGGACUCAUAGAUCGUUGACCUCGACGAGUCUUGGGGUGACUCGGCGAGUUGAGUCAUUUUAUGGGAGUUUCUGAAUUCAUGGACUCGACGAGUCUUGGGGUGACUCGGCGAGUAGAGUCAGUCAAGAGGGUUGACUUUGACCAAGAAUUUGACUUUGGCAAGAGUGGGCUUAGACGGUUUCUAAGAGUUAUGUUUGGAUCUAAGUGUUAUGUAUAUAGAUAUUGGUAGCUCGGGGAGCUAGUGGAGCAGCGGUUCAGAGAAUUAUCAAUCAGCAGUCAGAGGGUUAUCAGCAAGAGUUCCUCAGUUCAGGUGAGUUUCCCUUUUGUGUGAAUGGGUCUAAGNAAUGGGUCUAAGGCCACAAUGCCGGCCCAUGUAGUUAUGAGUAGGAAGACCCGGGGGUUAGCCCUAGGCACUGUUUGCUAUUAUGAUAUUCAGGACCAAGGUCCGAUGUCGGGCGGGUGCCCAAGGAAUGGUUUGCAUGAUAGAGUAUACUUGUUGUCUGUGUGAUGCAUGUAUGUGCCUGGUAGGAAGGUGAGUGUGGGCGAGGUCCCGUAUCUCACCAAUAGCAGAGUAUGGACGGUGUUCCAUAUCUCAUUAUUAGCAGAGCAUAGGCGAGGCCCGAGAUAGGUAUGGAGUGAGUGUGGGCGUGGUCCCGUAUCUCACUUACAGUAGGAGCUUGGACGGGGUUCCAUGACUCACUAGUGACAGGAUAGGGCGAGGCCCAAGACAGGCGAGACCUAAGGACAGGAUUACAGUAGGGUAUGUUCAAUUAUGUGUUAUAUGCUAAUUGUAUUAUGUGGUUAGCGGGUGGGGCCCAGAGACAGGCGGGGGCUAAGAGAAACAUAUAUGUAUCCGAGCGGGGCUCGAAGCCAGGCGGGGACUGGAGCGGNUGUAGCGGGCGAGACCCGAAGUAGCGGGCGUGGCCCAGUAUGUGCAGUAUGUGUUUAUGCAGGGUAUGUGGUAGGUUGGGGGAACUCACUAAGUUUUGUGCUUACGGUUUUCAGUUUUGUUUUCAGGUACUUCCGGUAGCGGAAUGAAGAGCUCGGGGUGAUCGCAUGGCACAAACCAUUGAUUAGUCAGCCUGGGAUGUUUUACUCUGAUAAUGAAAUUAUGUUUUGGAAUUAAUACUCUGAAUUAUGUUAUGCUUAAUGACAUGUUUUUAUAAAAAUGGUUUUAAUAAUGAUUUAAAGAAAAAAUUUUGGUACCGAUUUUUGGGAUGUUACACAAUAUGAACUCAUAUGUGAACUGUUUGAAGCCAAAACUUUGGAGGAGCAAUUUUAGAAACAUUUGGUGCACGUGCACCAACUUCUUGGUCACUAACACUCCUUUCUUAAUCCUAAAGCCAUGAAUGAACACUAUACUCAAUAAAGUGAAUGAAUGUAGUGAUAAAGAAAGGGCAUCGGACAAAAAAAGAAAGAUAAUUAUAGGUGAAUGGGUUAAAUGUGGAUUCCAGAUCAAUAUACAAAGAUAACAAUCUCAAUUAGGAUUCAAAAGCACAUAUGUAUCAUCAAAAACAAUUUUAUAUGCUAAAUUUUAAAAAGUAUAGUUUUUACUGCAAUUGUUUAGAUGGGCUAACAAUCGAACUCAUACGAACUUGCUAAACAAUGAUGAUACACAUGUGCAACAAAAAACAAUUUCAAUACAUGGAAAAGAAAUGGAUCAACAUUUUCAAAAAUUAAAAUUAAAAUAUGUUAGAAAGCUACAAGAAAGAAAACAAUUAAAGUGAUGAUACACAUGUGCAUAAUAUAACAAUUUUAUAUGCUAAAUUCUAAAAACCUAUUUUUUAGCACUUGUUUAAAUACCUUCAUCGUGUUCAUCAGUUCCCCUUCCAUCUUGAAACGUAUUACCAACAUCAACAUCAGCAUCAAAAUCAACUUCAGAAUCUAUUAUCUAUAAUGAAAUAUGCCAAUGGUAUUGGACAUGAAAUCUGAAUCCCUUUUUAGAUUUUCCUGUUAAAUAAAGGAUGAUGAUAUUAGAUGGCUUAAAAGAUGUAUCUAUCAAACCUCAUAAACGAUGAACACACAAUCAGUUUAAAAUUUCAUGAACACACAUGAUCAAAAUUCAGUAUUAUGUUAUAAAAUUGGUGAAUUUAAUUUUCCAGAAUUGUUGUUCAGAUAACAUUAAAUUAAAAAUUAUAACAUGAACAACUUUAUAUAUAAUAAUGUUUAUUGUUGGAUUUUCCAAAUUAAAAAGUUUUGAUUGUAUAUUUUUCAAACACAGUUGAGUGUUGUAGUGAAGAAGUACCAUAAUACCAUAAACAUAUUAACAAAAGUGCAUUGUUAUUUCUUGUUUCAUUACAUAAUUAAAAAAAAAAGUGAACUACUUAAAAAUGAAUUACAUUAUCAUUAAGACUAUGCGGACUAACGGAGUGGCACUCACCAAGUCACUCGCUUUCCUCGACAAAAAUAUAGAACACCACCCCCUAGCUCUUGCCAGGGGGUUCGCCAAAUAAAACACGCUAAACACAAAACGAGAAGAAAUAGAGAGUGCUGUGAGGUUUUGAUUGGCUGAAAUGCAUUGCGUAGGAUUGCAUAUUUAAACUUCAGCGUAUUUAAUUCUUGAUUAUUCUUGACUCCAUCCC
rnacentral:lncRNA from 1 species